GAUGAACGCUGGCGGCGUGCUUAACACAUGCAAGUCGAACGAAGCAGAUUGAGAUCUUCGGAAGGAUAUCUGACUGAGUGGCGGACGGGUGAGUAACGCGUGGGUAACCUGCCUCAUACAGGGGGAUAACAGUUAGAAAUGACUGCUAAUACCGCAUAAGCGCACAGUACCGCAUGGUACGGUGUGAAAAACUCCGGUGGUAUGAGAUGGACCCGCGUCUGAUUAGCUAGUUGGUGGGGUAACGGCCUACCAAGGCGACGAUCAGUAGCCGACCUGAGAGGGUGACCGGCCACAUUGGGACUGAGACACGGCCCAAACUCCUACGGGAGGCAGCAGUGGGGAAUAUUGGCACAAUGGGCGAAAGCCUGAUGCAGCGACGCCGCGUGAGUGAAGAAGUAUUUCGGUAUGUAAAGCUCUAUCAGCAGGGAAGAAAAUGACGGUACCUGACUAAGAGCA
rnacentral:rRNA from 1 species